UACGUAGGGCGCAAGCGUUGUCCGGAAUUAUUGGGCGUAAAGGGCUCGUAGGCGGCCUGUUACGUCUGCUGUGAAAUCCCGGGGCUUAACCCCGGGCGUGCAGUGGAUACGGGCAGGCUGGAGGCAGGCAGGGGAGAACGGAAUUCCCGGUGUAGCGGUGAAAUGCGCAGAUAUCGGGAGGAACACCGGUGGCGAAGGCGGUUCUCUGGGCCUGUACUGACGCUGAGGAGCGAAAGCGUGGGGAGCGAACAGG
rnacentral:rRNA from 1 species